AAGGAUAUACUUUACAGGAUCAUUUCUGUAGUUAGUCUUCAUUUAAAUUUUUUGGAAAUCGACCCGCGAUGACGAAGUAUAUCGUUUUAUCUGAAAAUACAUGUAAAUGAGGUUUAUGAACUUCAUUUCUAAUAUUGUGUUGUGGCAUAUUAGAAAUGAUGUUUCUUCGAAAAUCGCUCGCUUACAACGGAUAAAACGACUUCUGAGUGGU